CGGUGUCUGAGUCCUCACGAACAAACCCUAUCACUGCAUCAUCAUUUUCAUCACAACAUCUGACAACAGAUAGCUACCUCAUGUCUCCUUCACCUCUAAAGCAUCAAACAUGACAGCAUCUUGACUCUGAUGACGAGGACACGCCAGAGCGAAGCACAUCAUCACGUCAGAGAGGACGUGGGAUGAUGUCGGGUCAGGGAUCAUAUGUGGAGUAGAAGAUCUCUAAGCUCAAAGGAUUGAACAUGAGCAGGCCUGAAUUCAGGGCUGCGUUUGGAGCAUCACAUCCAGCGCUGAACUCUGCCUGACACAGAUUCAUUAUUGUUGUUCUGUAUUUGCUCCUUGUUUUGCAUGAUCUCUAUCUUGUUUGAAUAAAGUCUUGUAAAUAA